rnacentral:rRNA from 1 species
UACGGGGGGGGCAAGCGUUGUUCGGAAUUACUGGGCGUAAAGGGCUCGUAGGCGGCCAACUAAGUCGGACGUGAAAUCCCUCGGCUUGACCGGGGAACUGCGUCCGAUACUGGAUGGCUUGAGUUCGGGAGAGGGAUGCGGAAUUCCAGGUGUAGCGGUGAAAUGCGUAGAUAUCUGGAGGAACACCGGUGGCGAAGGCGGCAUCCUGGACCGACACUGACGCUGAGGAGCGAAAGCCAGGGGAGCAAACGGG